rnacentral:rRNA from 1 species
CAGUCGCCGCGGUAAUACGAAGGGUGCAAGCGUUAAUCGGAAUUACUGGGCGUAAAGCGUGCGUAGGUGGUGGUUUAAGUCCGUUGUGAAAGCCCUGGGCUCAACCUGGGAAUUGCAGUGGAUACUAGGUCACUAGAGUGUGGUAGAGGAUAGUGGAAUUUCCGGUGUAGCAGUGAAAUGCGUAGAGAUCGGAAAGAACAUCUGUGGCGAAGGCGACUAUCUGGGCCAACACUGACACUGAGGCACGAAAGCGUGGGGAGCAAACAGGAUUAGAUACCCCGGUAGUCCCUGUCUCUUAUAC